UUGACCUCGGAUCAGGUAGGAAUACCCGCUGAACUUAAGCAUAUCAAUAAGCGGAGGAAAAGAAACCAACAGGGAUUGCCCUAGUAACGGCGAGUGAAGCGGCAACAGCUCAAAUUUGAAAUCUGGCCUUGGCCCGAGUUGUAAUUUGCAGAGGAUGCUUUUGGCGCGGUGCCUUCUGAGUCUCUGGAACGGGACGCCACAGAGGGUGAGAGCCCCGUAUAGUCGGACACCAAGCCUUUGUAAAGCUCCUUCGACGAGUCGAGUAGUUUGGGAAUGCUGCUCAAAAUGGGAGGUAAAUUUCUUCUAAAGCUAAAUACCGGCCAGAGACCGAUAGCGCACAAGUAGAGUGAUCGAAAGAUGAAAAGCACUUUGAAAAGAGGGUUAAAAGUACGUGAAAUUGUUGAAAGGGAAGCGCUUAUGACCAGACUUGCGCCCGGCGAAUCAUCCAGCGUUCUCGCUGGUGCACUUCGCCGGGCUCAGGCCAGCAUCGGUUUCGGCAGUGGGAUAAAAGCUUCGGGAACGUGGCUCCCCCGGGAGUGUUAUAGCCCGUUGCAUAAUACCUCUGCCGGGACCGAGGUUCGCGCUCUGCAAGGAUGCUGGCGUAAUGGUUAUCAGCGACCCGUCUUGAAACACGGACCAAGGAGUGAAUGUCUUCAGCGAGUGUUUGGGUGUAAAACCCGCACGCGUAAUGAAAGUAAACGUAGGUGAGAGCUUCGGCGCAUCAUCGACCGAUCCUGAUGUACUCGGAUGGAUUUGAGUAAGAGCUUAAGGCAUUCGACCCGAAAGAUGGUGAACUAUGCCUGUAUAGGGUGAAGCCAGAGGAAACUCUGGUGGAGGCUCGCAGCGGUUCUGACGUGCAAAUCGAUCGUCAAAUAUGGGCAUGGGGGCGAAAGACUAAUCGAACCAUCUAGUAGCUGGUUACCGCCGAAGUUUCCCUCAGGAUAGCAGUGUUGUCUUCAGUUUUAUGAGGUAAAGCGAAUGAUUAGGGACUCGGGGGCGCUUUAUUGCCUUCAUCCAUUCUCAAACUUUAAAUAUGUAAGAAGCCCUUGUUACUUAGUUGAACGUGGGCAUUCGAAUGUACCAACACUAGUGGGCCAUUUUUGGUAAGCAGAACUGGCGAUGCGGGAUGAACCGAACGCGGGGUUAAGGUGCCAGAGUAGACGCUCAUCAGACACCA
rnacentral:rRNA from 1 species